UACAGAGGGGGCAAGCGUUGUUCGGAAUUACUGGGCGUAAAGGGCGCGUAGGUGGCCCGGUCAGUUCGUGGUGAAAGCGCAGGGCUCAACCCUGCGUCGGCCAUGAAUACUGCCGCGGCUGGAGCACUGUAGAGGGCAGGCGGAAUUCCGGGUGUAGCGGUGGAAUGCGUAGAGAUCCGGAAGAACACCGGUGGCGAAGGCGGC
rnacentral:rRNA from 1 species